GCGGCAGCAAGUGGAGGCCUGGUUUAAAUCAAGCCUUUCUCGCAUUGAAUGACCCCAGCCCUCCCUAGAUCAGGCAGUUUUAUGUGGAAUGCAAUCUCCACGCAAUACAACUGGGCUCCAGUUUCAUCCCUGGUGAUCUCAUGUGCAUUAGCUCGGAGCAGCGGGGAAGGAAGGGAAAAGGCAUCACGUGGGGCAGCUCUGCAGGAUUAACCUGGUGUACUGACUUCCUGAAAUCAUGCAAAAUUGAAUGAGUAUACGCAUUUUUGUUCUAAUCUACAUUGUUUUCAUCAUUUCCAGUCUCAUCCAUGAAAGAGAGAAAGAAGAGGAGGAGAGAGAGAUUGGCCAGAAACAACAAUGACAGAGGAUCAUUGAUCAGCUGGGAAUUGAACACUGAGAAUUGAACAUUGAUUUCCUGGUUCAUAGGUUGAUACACAACCGAUGAGACACACGUGCUGGAGGAAGGCAGAGGGAGAUGUGACUACAGCACCAGGCAAUGUGACCACUCAAGCAAAAUGCUGCUGGAUGGAGGAUGGAGGCUGGAGCCAAAAAUCAAAGAAUGCAGCUACAGAAGCUGGAAAAGGCAAGGAAACUGCUUCUCUCCCAGUCCCCUGGUGGGCGGGUGGCCCAGCCCACACCUUCAUUUCCACCCAGUGAAACUGAUUUCUGACUUAAGACUUC